rnacentral:tRNA from 1 species
UCCAUCAUAGUUUGGUCUGGUAAAGCGCCUACCUACAAUGCAGGAGACCCAGGUUCGAUCCCUGGGUUGGGA